rnacentral:rRNA from 1 species
UACGUAGGGUGCAAGCGUUAAUCGGAAUUACUGGGCGUAAAGCGUGCGCAGGCGGUGAUGCAAGACAGAUGUGAAAUCCCCGGGCUUAACCUGGGAACUGCAUUUGUGACUGCAUUGCUGGAGUGCGGCAGAGGGGGAUGGAAUUCCGCGUGUAGCAGUGAAAUGCGUAGAUAUGCGGAGGAACACCGAUGGCGACGGCAAUCCCCUGGGCCUGCACUGACGCUCAUGCACGAAAGCGUGGGGAGCAAACAGG